rnacentral:lncRNA from 1 species
GUGUGAUAAUGGCAAACUAUAUCGGCUCUGCAGAAACCAUAAUCACGGCGGCGCUGUCCAAUCUCCCAUCUUCACACCUCUCUCAUCUAACACACUCCAUCUCCGCCCUCUUCCGCCGCCACCUCCGCCGCCUGACCUCUCUCCUCUCCUCCCCGACCAUAUUCUCCCUCACUCUCCGCCACCUCCAGUCUCUCUCCCUCCACCACAAGUCCUUCCUCAUUGCCCGCCACCUCUUG